UAGGGAAUCUUCCACAAUGGACGAAAGUCUGAUGGAGCAACGCCGCGUGAGUGAAGAAGGGUUUCGGCUCGUAAAACUCUGUUGUUAAAGAAGAAUGACAUUGAGAGUAACUGUUCAAUGUGUGACGGUAUCUUACCAGAAAGGAACGGCUAAAUACGUGCCAG
rnacentral:rRNA from 1 species